GAUGAACGCUGGCGGCGUGCCUAAUACAUGCAAGUCGAGCGAAUGAUGAGGAGCUUGCUCCUCUGAUUUAGCGGCGGACGGGUGAGUAACACGUGGGUAACCUGCCUGUAAGAUGGGGAUAACUCCGGGAAACCGGGGCUAAUACCGAAUAAUAAAAGAGGAAGCAUUUCUUCUUUUUGAAAGUUGGUUUCGGCUAACACUUACAGAUGGGCCCGCGGCGCAUUAGCUAGUUGGUGAGGUAACGGCUAACCAAGGCGACGACGCGUAGCCGACCUGAGAGGGUGAUCGGCCACCCUGGGACUGAGACACGGCCCAGACUCCUACGGGAGGCAGCAGUAGGGAAUCUUCGGCAAUGGGCGAAAGCCUGACCGAGCAACGCCGCGUGAGCGAGGAAGGCCUUCGGGUCGUAAAGCUCUGUUGUCAGGGAAGAACAAGUACGAGAGUAACUGCUCGUACCUUGACGGUACCUGACCAGAAAGCCACGGCUAACUACGUGCCAGCCGCCGCGGUAA
rnacentral:rRNA from 1 species